UACGGGGGGAGCAAGCGUUGUUCGGAUUUACUGGGCGUAAGGGGCGCGUAGGCGGCCACCGCAAGUCGACUGUGAAAUCUCCGGGCUUAACCCGGAACGGUCAGCCGAUACUGCGGGGCUAGAGUGCAGAAGGGGCAACUGGAAUUCUCGGUGUAGCGGUGAAAUGCGUAGAUAUCGAGAGGAACACCUGCGGCGAAGGCGGGUUGCUGGGCUGACACUGACGCUGAGGCGCGAAAGCUAGGGGAGCGAACGGG
rnacentral:rRNA from 1 species